CAGCCGCCGCGGUAAUACGUAGGGUGCGAGCGUUAAUCGGAAUUACUGGGCGUAAAGCGUGCGCAGGCGGUUUUGUAAGACAGGCGUGAAAUCCCCGGGCUCAACCUGGGAAUGGCGCUUGUGACUGCACAGCUAGAGUAUGGCAGAGGGGGGUGGAAUUCCACGUGUAGCAGUGAAAUGCGUAGAGAUGUGGAGGAACACCGAUGGCGAAGGCAGCCCCCUGGGCCAAUACUGACGCUCAUGCACGGAAGCGUGGGGAGCAAACAGGAUUAGAUACCCCGGUAGUCCCUGUCUCUUAUAC
rnacentral:rRNA from 1 species